rnacentral:rRNA from 1 species
UACUCCCGCCCGGCGACCGGCGCACGGGUGAGUAACACGUAUGAAACCUGCCCGUAGCAGGGGGAUAAGCGGAAGAAAUUCCGUCUAAUACCGCGUAACAACCCGAGGAGGCAUCUCCUCGGGUUUAAAGGAAGCGAUUCCGGCUACGGAUGGUCAUGCGUCGCAUUAGCUAGUUGGCGGGGUAACGGCCCACCAAGGCGACGAUGCGUAGGGGUUCUGAGAGGAAGGUCCCCCACACUGGUACUGAGACACGGACCAGACUCCUACGGGAGGCAGCAG